GACGAACGCUGGCGGCGUGCCUAAUACAUGCAAGUAGAACGCACAGUUUAUACCGUAGCUUGCUACGCCAUAGACUGUGAGUUGCGAACGGGUGAGUAACGCGUAGGUAACCUGCCUGGUAGCGGGGGAUAACUAUUGGAAACGAUAGCUAAUACCGCAUAAUAUUGAUUAUUGCAUGAUAAUUGAUUGAAAGAUGCUAUUGCAUCACUACCAGAUGGACCUGCGUUGUAUUAGCUAGUAGGUGAGGUAACGGCUCACCUAGGCGACGAUACAUAGCCGACCUGAGAGGGUGGUCGGCCACACUGGGACGGAGACACGGCCCAGACUCCUACGGGAGGCAGCAGUAGGGAAUCUUCGGCAAUGGACGAAAGUCUGACCGAGCAACGCCGCGGGAGUGAAGAAGGUUUUCGGAUCGUAAAGCUCUGUUGUAAGAGAAGAACGGGUGUGAGAGUGGAAAGUUCACACUGUGACGGUAUCUUACCAGAAAGGGACGGCUAACUACGUG
rnacentral:rRNA from 1 species